UACGUAGGGCGCAAGCGUUGUCCGGAAUUAUUGGGCGUAAAGAGCUCGUAGGCGGUUUGUCGCGUCUGCUGUGAAAACCUGAGGCUCAACCUCGGGCUUGCAGUGGGUACGGGCAGACUAGAGUGCGGUAGGGUGACUGGAAGUUCCUGGUGUAGCGGUGAAAUGACGCAGAGUAUCAGGAGGAACACCGGUGGCGAAGGCGGCUC
rnacentral:rRNA from 1 species